rnacentral:rRNA from 1 species
AGAGUUUGAUCCUGGCUCAGGAUGAACGCUGGCGGCGUGCUUAACACAUGCAAGUCGAACGGGCCGCAAUCUUGCUUGCAGGGUUGUUGGUUAGUGGCGAACGGGUGAGUAACACGUGAGUAACCUGCCCCCUUCUUUGGGAUAACAUUUCGAAAGGGAUGCUAAUACUGGAUAUUCUGCUUGGGCCGCAUGGUUCUUGUGGGAAAGUUUUUUCGGUGGGGGAUGGGCUCGCGGCUUAUCAGCUUGUUGGUGUGGUGAUGGCUUACCAAGGCUUUGACGGGUAGCCGGCCUGAGAGGGUGGUCGGUCACACUGGGACUGAGAUACGGCCCAGACUCCUACGGGAGGCAGCAGUGGGGAAUAUUGCACAAUGGGCGAAAGCCUGAUGCAGCGACGCCGCGUGGGGGAUGACGGCCUUCGGGUUGUAAACUCCUUUCGCUUAUCAGCAAGCCGCCAUUUUGUUGGUGGUGAGUGUAGUAGGUAAAGAAGCGCCGGCUAACUACGUGCCAGCAGCCGCGGUAAUACGUAGGGCGCGAGCGUUAUCCGGAAUUAUUGGGCGUAAAGAGCUCGUAGGUGGUUGGUCGCGUCUGUCGUGAAAGCUCAUGGCUUAACUGUGGGUUUGCGGUGGGUACGGGCUGACUUGAGUGCAGUAGGGGAGAUUGGAAUUCCUGGUGUAGCGGUGAAAUGCGCAGAUAUCAGGAGGAAUACCGGUGGCGAAGGCUGGUCUCUGGGCUGUUACUGACACUGAGGAGCGAAAGCGUGGGGAGCGAACAGGAUUAGAUACCCUGGUAGUCCAUGCUGUAAACGUUGGGAACUAGGUGUGGGGGGCUUCCUUGUCUUCUGUGCCGUAGCUAACGCAUUAAGUUCCCCGCCUGGGGAGUACGGCCGCAAGGCUAAAACUCAAAGGAAUUGACUG